GUUUUAAUUUGUUUUAUUUUAUUAGAACUUAUGGGUAUUGUUCUUUAUCAUAAUAUACGCUUGUUGCUAUUGAUUAAAAUGUUUUUAUUCCUUAAAGUAUGAUUCAUUGUAUUCAGUUAUAACUUAUGAGCACUGUGCCUCUGUUGGGGUAUCGGUCGGGGUAUCACAUGUCUCACUCCGCACCAGUAGGUGGCAGCACCACAUCACCGCUGACACUGUUAGUUCCGGAAAGCAAAGCAUUGUGGGUGUUUAAUAGUAUAAAUUGCAACGUGUUCCCUCCGUUGGAACGUAGUCGACGGCGAUAGGUCUUAAGAGUAGGGCGCAGUUCGUAGCUCUGAAUAUUUAGUAAAUACUUCUUUUAGUUUGUUACUUUUCAUAUUCGAAAAGAUAACAGCUUGUUGGAUAACCCUAUCCUUAAUAUUUUUUAACACUUUUGACUCCGAGGAAGAUCUUUUUUGUUUUAAACGAAAGCCGCCAAGUCACCCUCGUCGCCAUUUUUUCCUCUACUGCAGUUUUUUGGUCGGAGAUGUGUGUAGAAGCAAUGGACACCAGCUCGAAGAAGUUGAGAAACAGCUGUCUGCGUAAAACCAUGAAACCAGGAUCGAAGCUGAGGUGGAUACGGCCCCGCGUCUUCGCGGAGGACGGUGAGGUGGACGAGGCCUUGAAGCAGUGUCGAGGCAGCGCGUUGAGGACCAUCCGGAAAUACCUUGGGCGGGCGCCGAGGCGGCCGCGGCUGGCUGAUCUGGCUGAACUCCUGGGAGGCAUCGGCGGGAAGGCCAAAAUGGAGUCCGCGCGCGAGGAAGGGCGCGUUGCGGCCUGCGCGCACCGCCAACCGUCGGGGGCAAUGGCGCCGGAAAACACCACGCAGUACCUGAUGGGUAAUGUCUACGAGGACAUGGCGACCGACGACGCGCAGGCGGUUCCGCGCGACACGUCAGCAGACGCGUGCAGUGGCUCUCUUUCAUCACCCACGGUGUGUGCUCCACAGGACUGCGACGAGGACGGCUGCCUUGCCUUCCAACAGCGGGACUUUGAGGAAGCGUUUGAGCUGUAUUGGCAACCGGAAUGAACCGGUCUGCGUGGCCUUGCGUUACUGGUCUGGCCUCGCUUCCAGCUGUGACUUUACGAUAUGGGCAAAGAACAAGCGGCGCACUGGGUGGUGCCCGCACCCUCCCUCCAGUAGGGAGCGCUCCUGAGCACUUCAUGGCGCCGCCUCGAGGAACGAAUCAAACGCACCCUGUCCACGGAUUGUGAAAUCCAGCAUUGUGCUGUCCAGUUACUGUUGUCUGAGCGUUUUCCAGGUCAACCUGACGGGACACAUGGCUCUGCCGUGAGAGGAGCAGGAGACCGAGGAGGUUGGUCUUCACGUGAUUGACACAAGGUGACAUUCAAUGCCCAUUGGGUUGUCUAGACUGUUUCCAUGGAGAUGAGUUCGUGGGGGGGGGAUGUGGAAUUCCAGGCAAAGUACUGGAUUUUUUUUUUAAUUCAAUGGUUAAGGUGUGUGUAUAUAAUAUAGUUUAAGUGACACAUGUUCAAUAAAUGAUAUUUUUUAUGACAUCUGAUUGACUCGUCUGUCUGUUUUGCUCAAUGGUACAAUUUCAUGAAGAGAUCGAUUGGCCUUGUGGAAGGUCUGAUACUCAAAUGUUUUUAGUUGAAUCGUGAAUCAAGUUUGCCCACCGCUGGAAGUGGUCCCUGUGAGAAUUUCCAUUCCCAAUGUUAUCCAUGAAUCAUUGGCCCCCUUCUCGAAGGAAAGGUGAAAAAAAAUCAUUGUUGCCAAGUAGGGAUGGGGCCGAUCCAGUAUCGGUAUCAAUUUCUCUGGUAUCGGAAGAAAUUCGAUACAAAUAUAGAAAUUUCCGAUACAACCUUUGGAGUUUCCCGAUAUCAAUGAGCCAUGUCUGCGCUUUAACGUCGUCUGGUGAAAUGACUCCAAAAGGGAUCCCCGUCUGCUAGUCUGCUAGCUGGCUGCAAACUGGAAUGGAUUUCCUGAGCGUCUCAUAUAACUGUCUCGUUGAGCCGCGCCUCCGUUCAGGAA
ensembl:lncRNA